CUACGGGGGGCACCAGUGAGGAAUAUUGCACAAUGGGGGGAACCCUGAUGCAGCAACGCCGCGUGGAGGAUGACGCAUUUCGGUGUGUAAACUCCUUUUAUAUGUCAAGAAAAUGACGGUAGCAGAUGAAUAAGCACCGGCUAACUCCGUGCCAGCAGCCGCGGUAAUACGGAGGGUGCAAGCGUUACUCGGAAUCACUGGGCGGAAAGGACGCGUAGGCGGGUUGGAAAGUCAGGUGUGAAAUCCUACAGCUUAACUGUAGAACUGCACUUGAAACUUCUAAUCUAGAGUAUGGGAGGGGGAGAUGGAAUUAGUGGUGUAGGGGUAAAAUCCGUAGAUAUCACUAGGAAUACCUAAAGCGAAGGCGAUCUCCUGGAACAUUACUGACGCUAAGGCGUGAAAGCGUGGGGAGCAAACAGGAUUAGAUACCCCGGUAGUC
rnacentral:rRNA from 1 species